GCCUCCUUGUUUAAUUAACUUCACAGUAUGAAAAGAAUAGGGCCCUUAACCACACUCUGAGAAACCCUAUAUUUAAGGAUGGACAGAGAAAGAGGAGAGAGACCACAAAGAAUACUCAAAAGAAGAGAGAGAGUGACAUCACAGAAGCUACAGGAGGAGAAUGUUUCCAGGGAGAGAGAUGCUGCUGAAGAAUCAAAAAUGUCUCAUGAGCACAAGACAGAAAGAAUAUUCAAAAGAAACUUCAAGAAUCUUAGCUUCUGAAGGACAUAUUUUUAGUGCAUAUACUGACUCUCACAUUUACCGAACCCCAGCUGCAGCAUUUGUCUCAGAGAACUGCUCUGCUCCUCCCAUUUAUCCCAUUAUUACUUUCAGUUGUGAGAUGAAAAUGUUCUCUUUGAAAUAAAUUGGCUCCUCUAAAUAAAGAAAUGUCCAAAUAGCUACUUCAGUCUCUUAUUUAAUCUCAAGUUAAAUCAAAGAAAAGAUUUCAGCAUAUAGAAACUCAUUCAAACCUGAAGUGACCUUGGUGUUUUUCUCAAUACAUCAAUCAUUGUUAUCACAUUUCUUAGUUUUCUUUUUUUUCAAUUUCUUUUUUUUUUAAAGAUUUUAUUUUUUUCCUUUUUCUCCCCAAAGCCCCCCAGUACGUAGUUGUACAUCCUCCAUUGUGGGUCCUUCUAGUUGUGGC
rnacentral:lncRNA from 1 species